CGGGCUGUUCCUCAUUUCAUUCAGGGAGGGGCAUAUUUUGACAGAUUUGAUGAGUUGGAUGCAGUUGUCAUUUUUGACCAGUGUGAAUGGAAAAAUACCCGUCAGAAGAACGAUGAAAUCGAGCAUGAGAUCUUCACCUUUGACAAGUUCUACAGCCUCUCGCAGAAAAGAAUUGCCCCAGAACUGAUAUUGAAGAACUGUUCAAAAACAACUUUUAUUAUUUGUUUAAAUGAAUUAUGAGCAACAAAUAAUAAAGCCUUAUUUAAAAUGUGUGAAUUCAGCAAGAUAUUCUGUGCUGAUUGCUGUCAGCAAACACAUACAUUUUAAGUAACAGUUUGUGUUAUA